AGGUGGUCCAACGGUAGUGAGUUAUAGAACUUACAUUAAUGCCAAUAAAGUUGGUAUAGAACCCCCCACUGCAAAAUUGACUGGCUUUUA
rnacentral:Y_RNA from 1 species